rnacentral:rRNA from 1 species
UGGGGAAUUUUGCGCAAUGGGGGAAACCCUGACGCAGCAACGCCGCGUGAGUGAUGAAGGCCUUCGGGUCGUAAAGCUCUGUCAGAGGGAACGAAAUGCGGGCGGCUAAUAUCCGUACCGCUUGACGGUACCCUCAGAGGAAGCACCGGCUAACUCCGUGCCAGCAGCCGCGGUAAUACGGAGGGUGCGAGCGUUGUUCGGAAUUAUUGGGCGUAAAGCGCGUGUAGGCGGUUUUGUAAGUCUGAUGUGAAAGCCCUGGGCUCAACCUGGGAAGUGCAUUGGAUACUGCAAGACUUGAGUACGGGAGAGGGCAGUGGAAUUCCCAGUGUAGGAGUGAAAUCCGUAGAUAUUGGGAGGAACACCGGUGGCGAAGGCGGCUGCCUGGACCGAUACUGACGCUGAGACGCGAAAGCGUGGGGAGCAAACAGG